CGCUUCCCAGGUGAGGCAAUGCCUCGCCCUGCUUCGGCUCGUGCACGUUGCGCACACCCACUGGCCUGCGCCCACUGUCUGGCACUCCCUAGUGAGAUGAACCCGGUACCUCAGAUGGAAAUGCAGAAAUCACCUGUCUUCUGCGUCGCUCACACUGGGAGCUGUAGACCGGAGCUGUUCCUAUUCGGCCAUCUUGGCUCCUCCUCUAUCUACACAUCUUUGAAAGGUCUUCCUCUUCUCCACUGCUUUUGUCGAACGUGUUCAAAAGGAUUUGAAACCAACUAUUGGAGGAAGAAAAUCAAUCACUCUCCUUUGUCUCCUAUUGGGACCACUGCCCCACCCCCCCCAACAAAAGGAUAAAUUCCUGGAAAGUGUAAAGGGAAGAAAGCCCCUCCAUUGGGAAAUAGGUUGGUGUCAGGCUACUUGCUUGUCUGAUUCUUCACAAUGAUAAAGGCCAGCAGAGAAAGUUCAGUGCAAAAGUUCAUCAGCCACCAGGCCAUCAGGAGCAUCUAUUGAUCAAAUCAAAUGUUCACUUCAAACUGCGUUUCUUAACCUGCAGGUGUAGAAUCACCCAUAACAGAUACAGUCACACCUAUCUCUGCACAUACUUGUACGUUCAGGACAACCUGAUGUAUUACAAUUAACAACAUGGUGUCAGUACUGCAGAAGGAUUCACUUGUAUAAAAUAUCCACCAGAGAAAUCGCCUGGAAGUUACUUUCUAAUCUCCUUGACUCUUCCUCGGUACCUUGUGGAAUAGAUGUGGGCUGGGGUAUAGCUUCUGGAUGGUCAUAUAAAUUGAACAGAGGAUAAGUGGAGCCCUUUUUUCAUCUCUUCCAAAAUAUGAAACAUUGCACUGAUCUCGGUGGAAAUAAAUGCCAAAGAGGGUGAUUUUUCCACGGAGCACACAUGAUGUUUCCCCUAAAAUGAGAGAGGAUUUCUACCAACUAAAGAUAUUCUAAUUCCUACAUCAAAAGUUCAUUGAAACUUUUUUUUUUUUUUUUGAGACAGUCUUGCUCUGUCGCCCAGUCUGGAGUGCAAUGGCGGGAUCUCAGUUCAACCCAACCUCCGCCUCCCAGGUUCAAGGGAUUCUCUUGCCUCAGCCUCCCCAGUAGCUAUGAUUACAGGCACCCGCCACCAUGCCCAGCUAAUUUUUGUAUUCUUAGUAGAGACGGGGUUUCACCAUGUGGGUCUUGAACUCCUAAGCUCAGGUGAUCCACCCGCCUCGACCUCCCAAAGUGCUGGGAUUACAGGCGUGAGCCACCCAUUGAAACUUAAUAUGGAGGAAAGCACUGUGUUUGGGGUUGGAAGGAUAUAAAGGGAAUCAAGUAGGAUCUCUGCACUCUGGUAGUUUGAUGCCUUGUCCUCAUGGGAUUCACAGAGCAGUCAAGGAGACCAAAAUAAUUGCUCGCUAGAGGUAGAAACUUCACAUUUGGAAGCACAGAGAAUCAGGAAAACUCUAAAGUGGAAGCAAAAAGUUUCAGCUCAUUUUAAAAUUUGAUUCUAAUUUCGACGAGCGAUCGCUUGAGAUGGAAGUGACAUCCAUCCUGUCCUACAGGGCAGGCAGAUGCAGCUUGUUACAGGAGGCCAGCUUAAGAGAAGAUGAGAAUUGAUUUCCUUACAGAGCAAUGUUAACAAUUUUGCAACUUAAUUGUAAUUCUUAAAGUCAGAUCAUUUAAGAGCGGAGGAAAAGAUUUUUCUGGAGAAGAAGCUCAAUUUAAUAAAUCCUUUGCCGAGGGAUUUGCUCAAACUUUUGGUACUCACCCAAGCAUUUGUCUGAAAAGAGUUUUGUCUUCUCUCGCCAUUGUUGCAAGAUACUGGUAAGGAAAGCUGUUUGAACUUCCUCAAAACAUCAACAUUUAAUACUCCUUAAGUUUCCAACAGGAAAACGAGGUAAGUUAAUAUUUUCCCAUGUUGAUACAUAAUUGAAUUAGAGUUUUACUUAACUUAAUAAAUUGCCACCUGGGGUAAUAGAACCAUGAACAGCACUUAAUUUCAGGUCUGCAUUAACUGUGCUUUCUCACUGCCCCGGUCUGAGUGCCUGUUACCACGGCUCCCAAAGGCAUCAGGGUAAGAAAAUCAUUUUCAAGAAAGUUCUGGGAACAAACUGUGUUAGCUUGGGGAGGCUGAAGGUGGGAAAUUAGGGUCAUGUUCAUGCCUGAGUGCACUGUACCAUAACACACACUGUGGUUGUAGUUUAUAUUAUAAUACGUCAAGACUAAGGAGGUACUCCCGGCUCAGAUCAGGUAGUCCUCUGCAACUAUCUAGACCAGCGAUGUACAGUGCAUCUCCAGCUUUAUAUUGCUGGGAGGAGAACUGGACUUCCAAAAGUUUUGAUGUAACUUCACUCAUGAAGAUUUACUAUGCUCAGUUCCACUGGUGAAACCCUUUAUGAAGAACUCAGAAAGGUACGCUUCGGUUUUUGUCAGAUUUGUUGGCAAUCUCUCUGUGCCACCUGCCUUCUGUAACCUUUAGAUAAGUAAACCCAGGAGUGGUGAAGCCUGAUCUCUCCAUCAAUCUCAAGUUACUAUUGACUCAAGGUUCAUUCUAACUCCACCAUAACCCAAUUUUUAAAAACAAAAAUGUCUUUGCUGAGAUAAUAAAGAAGAAACAUCAUGAGUUUCUACAAAUACCUUCAAAAGACAGAAUCCAAACAGAG
rnacentral:lncRNA from 1 species